CUCCAUAAUAAUCUGUGCUACUUGUAUUAAAACAAGAAAGAAUGAGUUAAGAAGGUUCAAGGAAAGUUAAUCGAGUUAGUAAGAAUAUCGUUAUAUAUACAUGGUUUCCUUAAGUAUCCCAAGGCGACACGGUUACCUAAAGGGUGUGGAAUCGCGCUAUGAGUAUGUAUAUGAAGUAAUGCGAGUGACCUUUUAAAGUAUUUGAGAUUAUUAGUAAUGAUAUAGAGGGUGGACAAAAGAUAUGAAUAUACUUUUGCGAUUGGAGUUUCGUCAAAGCUUUGUGAGUUCUCUAGUUAUGUUUAAGGUUAUUGUGAGUCUCUGGACCCUUCAAGAUGUGUAUAUGGAUUUUUUUAUUGAUGUAUAUAAGUGUGUAUAUGUAUGCAUAAGAGGUUACAUAAGGUUGGAAGAGGAUUAGAAGUUAAACGAAAUGAAUCGGAACAACUUCAGUAAAAUUUCGGACCCGAUUUUAGUCUAUAUUGUAGGAGGCAUAUCUCCUUGAAUAUGAGGAGUUUUAAGGUGUUUCAAAAGCCUAAAAUGAAGUUCAUCGAGUCUAGUUUGUAAUGCAACAAACCGCUCGUCAAAAUGAUAUCGGGAUAAGGAGAUAUGGACGAUGCAAGUUGGGCUGGCAGGGCAGCAAGUUUGGACCCGACCCAAACACUCACAUUUCGGCCCAUGAGGCCCAUUAAACUCAAUAGAUAAGUCACCACUUUGCCCUAUAUCAUUUCACACGACCUAAAACAGAUCCAAAACCCUUAUUUUCUCUCCCAAACCCCCUUUCUAAUUGAGCCAUCAUAUAAGCUAAAUCCUAGACCCUUGACAUGAUAUUAGUUAAAGAGAAGUUGUAGCUUAAGUUUUUUUUGUGUUGUUAAGCAAGCAGCUGGAAAGAGGAACAAGAUUCUUGAAGAUUCUGAUUGCUAAAGGUAAUUUCAACCUCCCACUCAUGUUAUCAAUUUGGAUUAAAGGUUUAAUAUGGUGUAUACGUGAAGGAAACGUUGAUAUACAAGCUAGAGAGAGAGAGAGCAUAAGCCAUGGCAUUCGGCCAUGGCUAGCAAAAUUGGAGCUCAAAUUUGUUGAUCCAAAAAUCAGAUUUUCUAGGUAUUUCAGCCCUUAGGAAGGUGAUAAUAACGUGGAGAAUUCAUUUGGAGCAACAAGAACAAGUAUUAGUGCAUUUCACAAAUUCUAGCUAAGUGGAAAAAGCCAACUUGUUAAGGUAAGAGUUGAUCAUUUUUCUAUGUGUUUGAUGAUGAAGUUGGACGUGUGGGGAAUAUGCAAAUGUAAAUUGUAUGUGUGAAAUUAUGUAUCUUGAUGUUGAAGCAUAGUUGUAACUUGGUAACAUGAAUUGCACGAAUGUUGGAAUGUUGUUGAAUGCCGUAGGGGCUGUUUUUAAUUGAAAUUUGAUGGACUGAUUUGAAUUAAUAUUUUGGUUGUUGUAAUCAUAGAUUAUGUGAUGAGAAUGAAGGAAUUUAAUGGUUAGAGUUGGAGUUAAAAUUGUUGUGGGUUGUUGUAAGGAUUAUAGAGAUAAUAAUGUGAUUUACUUGCAUAUGGAUAGAUGAUGUGGUGUCGUGUGGCUGCUGUUGUAUUUCCCUGAAAUUUGCUGAAAAGAUGGCAUGAAAUAAGUCGUAAGAAGUGUAUAUGGGCUGCUUGGUGUGUUGUAAGUGUUCGUUAGAAUUUCGGGCAUCGUUAUGUUAUAGUUUAGGGGCUGUUUUCGGCCCAAUUUGGAGAAACUGUUGGAUCGUUGGAAAUAUUAUGUGAAUUGUUUAGAAUGUUCUUAAAUGUUGUUAGUAUGGGUUUGGGUUAGUAUUUGAAUGUAUAGGCGUUGAUGUUGGCUUGAAGGUAAGCCGUUGAAUUGAAUAUUUGGAAAGUUGUCGAAUGAUGAAAAAGAGAGUAUUAAUGUAAUAUUGUCUUUCGGAUUGGUUAUUGGAGUUGCUAGGUUGGUUAUUGUGGUUGUUGUUGUUGAUUUUGAGCGAGUUAAAUUCUCGGGAUGACCUAUUUACAGGGGAAGUGCUGCCGAAUUUUCUGUAGAAUUUAAUGUUAGUUUGGAAUGAAUGGCUUAAGUGCCUAUGUUUAAUAUUGGAUAUUCGUUGGCAUAUUUGUAGACCUUGGGGAGCCCGAGGCGUAGAUUGGAAUUUACUUUAGAUUGGCUAUCUUGGAGUGCGUACGAGGUACCGACGACAGGUUUGCUGAUCCGUCCGUCUAGGAUAUCUUUUCUGCCAUUUGGAGCGCUCUUUUAUUCAGAGCCCAUCUUUUGGUACAGUCUGUCACUACUGUAUAUAUAUAUAUAUAUAUAUUCUCGUUCAUGGGUACGGCGGGGCCCUGUCCCGUUAUAUGAUUCCGUCGGUCUGUUUAGAGGUCUGUAGACAUGUUUGUGGGUUAGGGUCUUUCUGUACGGAUGCGUGUAUAUGUUGUGUUUGGGCGAUCUCAUUCGCCGCGGCGGCCGGUCCGCAUAUGUUUAAAUGUUGCUUUGUUGGCCCUGGGUGGUCAUUGUUGGUAUUAUCUGUGCGCAGGGUUAAUUUGGAUAGUCUGUAAAACAAAGGAAACUCUGCCAAAAUUUUUCUGGAAAUUAUCUAAAUAUUGAAAUAUAGCCUUGUCGGCUUCUGCUAUAUACUUGAAUGCGUUUGAUAAUAUUCGUUCUCAACUCUGUUUAAAAAUGAUGAUUUAGUUUGUAUGUCCGUUUGGGUGCCCAAGUAGGGCACCAGUCGCGGCCCACGGGGCUGGGUCGUGACAGAAGUGGUAUCAGAGCAGUUCGUCCUCGGAAUGUCUACAGACCGUGUCUAGUAGAGUCUUGUUUAUCGGUGUGUUGUGCACCACAUCUAUAAACAGGAGGCUACAGGACAUUUAGGGUGUUACCUUUUUUUCAUAUCUAAGAUCGUGCGAUAGAGCCCAGUCAUAGGAAAUGAAAUUCUUUAUACUAACAUUUGAUUUCAACUGAAGAACGACAUCGACAGAAGAAAGUGAUUGAUGAUAUUGGAAGUUUCAAAGUACGCAGGUAAGCAAAGGUACGAAAGGUAUAAGUCGAGUAAGGUAUGGAAGUGCGAUUGAAAUGUAAAGUUGAAAAUUGAAAGAGAAAGUAUAACAGGUGCAGUUUGAGUUGGGCAUACGAGGUAUGUUCAUCACUUUUAUACUGUUGUUAAUAUUGGGAGCCCUGUGUGGCUAUGAUAUGAUAUGAUGUGUAUAUACGUAUAAAUGUUGUCCCUGUGAGGCAUUGUUGGUAUUUCCUGCGUGGAGGUUUUGGGAUAGUAAGAAGUACAGAGAAAACUCUGCCCAAAUUUUUCCAGAAAUAGAAAAAGAGAAUGAGACAUAGGUUUGUAAUAUGUUUUGAAAGGUUGUGUCAAUAGUAAGGAUAUGAUUUGACUAAUUUGCCAAUAUGGCUGACCUCGAGAAAUAAGUUGACUGCCGAAUCGAUGGUAAUAGUAAUUGGGAAGUCGAUAUCGAUAUGGUAAAAAGAAUAAUUUGGAAAGGGUUUAUGAUACUAAGAGAUGAUUUAGAAAAAGGCUGGAUAAUCUUGAUAAAGUGUUAUAGUAAGGUACCGACUGAAUUGAUAAGCAAGGAAAAAAAAUUAUGACGAGUUUAUAGUAAAAGAAGUAGUAGUAUGAUUAAGAUGAGAGUACAGAGGAAAAUGAAUUGUGACGGAUGCGAAUGUAUUGGUAAGACAGGCUGUGAGGUUGUGAAGGAUAAGAUUGACUAGGAACGGUGAAAGGUUAAGUAUGCUUAUACAACACUAAUGUAACAUUCGAGGACGAAUGUUCCUAAGGGGGGAAGAAUGUUACACUCCAUAAUAAUCUGUGCUACUUGUAUUAAAACAAGAAAGAAUGAGUUAAGAAGGUUCAAGGAAAGUUAAUCGAGUUAGUAAGAAUAUCGUUAUAUAUACAUGGUUUCCUUAAGUAUCCCAAGGCGACACGGUUACCUAAAGGGUGUGGAAUCGCGCUAUGAGUAUGUAUAUGAAGUAAUGCGAGUGACCUUUUAAAGUAUUUGAGAUUAUUAGUAAUGAUAUAGAGGGUGGACAAAAGAUAUGAAUAUACUUUUGCGAUUGGAGUUUCGUCAAAGCUUUGUGAGUUCUCUAGUUAUGUUUAAGGUUAUUGUGAGUCUCUGGACCCUUCAAGAUGUGUAUAUGGAUUUUUUUAUUGAUGUAUAUAAGUGUGUAUAUGUAUGCAUAAGAGGUUACAUAAGGUUGGAAGAGGAUUAGAAGUUAAACGAAAUGAAUCGGAACAACUUCAGUAAAAUUUCGGACCCGAUUUUAGUCUAUAUUGUAGGAGGCAUAUCUCCUUGAAUAUGAGGAGUUUUAAGGUGUUUCAAAAGCCUAAAAUGAAGUUCAUCGAGUCUAGUUUGUAAUGCAACAAACCGCUCGUCAAAAUGAUAUCGGGAUAAGGAGAUAUGGACGAUGCAAGUUGGGCUGGCAGGGCAGCAAGUUUGGACCCGACCCAAACACUCACAUUUCGGCCCAUGAGGCCCAUUAAACUCAAUAGAUAAGUCACCACUUUGCCCUAUAUCAUUUCACACGACCUAAAACAGAUCCAAAACCCUUAUUUUCUCUCCCAAACCCCCUUUCUAAUUGAGCCAUCAUAUAAGCUAAAUCCUAGACCCUUGACAUGAUAUUAGUUAAAGAGAAGUUGUAGCUUAAGUUUUUUUUGUGUUGUUAAGCAAGCAGCUGGAAAGAGGAACAAGAUUCUUGAAGAUUCUGAUUGCUAAAGGAAACGUUGAUAUACAAGCUAGAGAGAGAGAGAGCAUAAGCCAUGGCAUUCGGCCAUGGCUAGCAAAAUUGGAGCUCAAAUUUGUUGAUCCAAAAAUCAGAUUUUCUAGGUAUUUCAGCCCUUAGGAAGGUGAUAAUAACGUGGAGAAUUCAUUUGGAGCAACAAGAACAAGUAUUAGUGCAUUUCACAAAUUCUAGCUAAGUGGAAAAAGCCAACUUGUUAAGGUAAGAGUUGAUCAUUUUUCUAUGUGUUUGAUGAUGAAGUUGGACGUGUGGGGAAUAUGCAAAUGUAAAUUGUAUGUGUGAAAUUAUGUAUCUUGAUGUUGAAGCAUAGUUGUAACUUGGUAACAUGAAUUGCACGAAUGUUGGAAUGUUGUUGAAUGCCGUAGGGGCUGUUUUUAAUUGAAAUUUGAUGGACUGAUUUGAAUUAAUAUUUUGGUUGUUGUAAUCAUAGAUUAUGUGAUGAGAAUGAAGGAAUUUAAUGGUUAGAGUUGGAGUUAAAAUUGUUGUGGGUUGUUGUAAGGAUUAUAGAGAUAAUAAUGUGAUUUACUUGCAUAUGGAUAGAUGAUGUGGUGUCGUGUGGCUGCUGUUGUAUUUCCCUGAAAUUUGCUGAAAAGAUGGCAUGAAAUAAGUCGUAAGAAGUGUAUAUGGGCUGCUUGGUGUGUUGUAAGUGUUCGUUAGAAUUUCGGGCAUCGUUAUGUUAUAGUUUAGGGGCUGUUUUCGGCCCAAUUUGGAGAAACUGUUGGAUCGUUGGAAAUAUUAUGUGAAUUGUUUAGAAUGUUCUUAAAUGUUGUUAGUAUGGGUUUGGGUUAGUAUUUGAAUGUAUAGGCGUUGAUGUUGGCUUGAAGGUAAGCCGUUGAAUUGAAUAUUUGGAAAGUUGUCGAAUGAUGAAAAAGAGAGUAUUAAUGUAAUAUUGUCUUUCGGAUUGGUUAUUGGAGUUGCUAGGUUGGUUAUUGUGGUUGUUGUUGUUGAUUUUGAGCGAGUUAAAUUCUCGGGAUGACCUAUUUACAGGGGAAGUGCUGCCGAAUUUUCUGUAGAAUUUAAUGUUAGUUUGGAAUGAAUGGCUUAAGUGCCUAUGUUUAAUAUUGGAUAUUCGUUGGCAUAUUUGUAGACCUUGGGGAGCCCGAGGCGUAGAUUGGAAUUUACUUUAGAUUGGCUAUCUUGGAGUGCGUACGAGGUAUGUAAAGCGCAACCCUUCUUUCUUUUGGCAUGCCUUAGUUUUCAAUAGGCUAUAUCACGAGCCUCGAGGAAAUUCCAAAUUCGAAAUCCGAGCACGUUAUGAUCCUUAUAUAUAUUUCUUGGCAUUCUUAUGUAUGUUGUGAUGAAGUAUGAACAAUUAUGUCUUCGAAAGCAUUGAUUUCCAAACUUUGUACAAAAAGUUGUUUUAAAGAAUUCCGUAACUACGAAAUGCCAUAUCUUUUGCAUAAAGGCUCGGAUUGCUCCAAUAUUUUCAUAAGAGUUUGCAUGAUGUAUAAUGAGUAUGUUUUCCAUGAGCGGGCCCGAUUCGGGUCGAUACCCGUUCGUGGGUCCCGCGACUUUCCUUUAUGUAAUUCGGACGACUUUUGAAAGAAUUUGGUAUGAUUAUCAUUUCGAAUUUCAAAUAUGAUCAUUUUACUUAUGUUUGAAUUUAUGAUAAUGAUUUUAUGCAUAUGACUACUCUAUUAACUACUAAACAAAAAUUGUUUUAAAUAAUUCAUUAAGUCUUAUAAAUUUUUUUGGCACUCGGAACGACUUCAGAAAGGUAUGCUUCUGUAAUUCAUUAUGACAUCCGAAACUCACUUAUUAUGAUCCCGUCUGACUUCAUUGAAUUGGUUUGUCAUUGAUAUGCCUCAUCGAGUCUCUGAAAAUAUUUAUGAUAUUUUAACUGCAUUUAGUUUCUCACUACUCUAUUCGUGGAUGCCCCAAUGUUUCCCACACUGAGCCCGGGCCAGGAUAUGUUGUCAAGCGUAAUCCUCUGCAUUGUUCGCCGUGCCUCGAUGUGAGGGGGCAGGUAUACGUGUACAUGGGUUUGUGGAGUAUGCUGUGCCAUGUACAUAUGUUCUGAUAUGAUUUGCCAUGGCCAUCUGAUAUGAUAUACUAUGUUACGGGGUUAUGCCCCUAUUCUGAUUCUUCUGUGU